rnacentral:rRNA from 1 species
GCAAGUCGAACGCGAAGGGGACGUUCGGUCCUGAGUAAAGUAGGCGGCGCGGGUGAGUAACGCGUAGAUAACCUGUCUUCAUGUCUGGAAUAAUACGCCGAAAGGGGUACUAAUACCGGAUAUUCUUGCUUUUCAUAAGUUAUGCAAGCAAAGGUGGCCUCUGCAUAUGCUACUGCAUGAAGAGGGGUCUGCGUACCAUUAGCUAGUAGGUGGGGUAAUGGCCUACCUAGGCGACGAUGGUUAGCGGGUCUGAGAGGAUGAUCCGCCACACUGGCACUGGAACACGGGCCAGACUCCUACGGGAGGCAGCAGUGAGGAAUAUUGCGCAAUGGGGGAAACCCUGACGCAGCGACGCCGCGUGAGUGAAGGAAGGCCUUCGGGUCGUAAAGCUCUGUCAAGAGGAAAGAAGUGUACAAUGGCUAAUACCUGUUGUAUUUGACGGUACCUCUAAAGGAAGCACCGGCUAACUCCGUGCCAGCCGCAGC